AUCAUUCUUCCAUAUUUCUUCUCUUCUUCGUCUCAUCCAUACUCAACCAUUUACAGUCCACACUCACUCCACCGACAUUAACUUGUUCCCAGAGGCCACUGGAGCCUGGAGCAGCUUAAUGGAUCCCAGAAGAGAAAGGAGAUUCUCCCGAACCAAGCUUAAGGCAGACUUAGCGGCAGUUCUUCGAAAAUCAUGGUACCAUUUGAGGUUGUCCGUCAGACAUCCGUCUAGAGUCCCCACUUGGGAUGCAAUUGUCCUCACGGCUGCUAGCCCCGAGCAAGCCCAGCUAUACGACUGGCAGCUCAAGCGCGCCAAGCGUAUAGGCCGGAUCGCUCCCUCCACCGUCACUCUUGCCGUGCCCGACCCCAACGGCCAGCGGAUCGGCUCUGGUGCCGCCACUCUUAAUGCCAUUAAUGCCCUCGCUCGCCAUUAUCAGAUGCUAGGGCUCGAUCUUGGCCCAGAGGUGGCAAACACAGAAAAUGGAAGUUCUGGAUCUAAUAGUGAAGAUUUUGUCCUGCCACUUGUUAGAUUUGUGGCCAAAAAGCACAUACUGUUGCUUCAUGCUGGAGGUGACUCUAAACGGGUCCCAUGGGCAAAUCCUAUGGGAAAAGUUUUCUUACCACUUCCAUAUCUGGCAGCAGAAGACCCUGAUGGGCCAGUUCCGCUGCUUUUUGACCAUAUACUUGCAAUUGCUUCUUGUGCAAGACAAGCUUUUAAGAAUGAAGGUGGAAUAUUGACAAUGACUGGUGAUGUUCUUCCAUGUUUUGAUGCCUCUUCCAUUGUUAUUCCAGAGGAUGCAUCCUGCAUCAUCACAGUUCCCAUCACCCUUGAUAUUGCUUCUAAUCAUGGUGUUGUUGUGGCAUCUAAAACUGGGAUUCAAACUGACAGUUACACAGUCAGUUUAGUUGAUAAUCUCCUACAGAAACCUACUGUAGAGGAACUUGUUAAGAAUCAAGCAUUAUUGGACGAUGGUAGAACAUUGCUCGAUACUGGAAUCAUAGCAGUUAGAGGUGAAGCAUGGCUGGUGCUUGCCAAGCUUGCAUGUUCCUGCCAAACAAUGAUUACAGAACUUCUAAAGAACAGAAAAGAGAUGAGUUUAUAUGAAGAUCUAGUGGCAGCCUGGGUACCUGCAAAACAUGAAUGGCUGCAAGUGCGGCCUUUGGGCAAAGAACUGGUCAGAAAAUUGGGCAAACAAAAGAUGUUUAGCUACUGUGCUUAUGAUUUGUUGUUCCUGCACUUUGGAACCUCAAGUGAAGUUUUGGAUCACUUAAGUGGGACUAGCUCAGAACUUGUAGGUCGAAGACAUUUGUGUUCCAUCCCAGCCACAACUGCAUCUGACAUUGCAGCAUCUGCUGUAGUUCUUUCUAGCAAAAUUGAAUCUGGUGUCUCAGUUGGGGAAGAUUCUCUUAUAUAUGAUUCAACCAUAUCUGGUGGAAUGCAAAUUGGUUCCCAAUCUGUAGUUGUUGGAAUUAAUGUCCCAGGAGACAUUGGUGCGGUGGCAGAAAAUUCAUUCAGAUUCAUGCUUCCAGAUCGUCAAUGUCUUUGGGAGGUUCCUCUAGUCGAAUGUACAGAAAGAGUCAUAGUGUAUUGUGGCCUCCAUGAUAACCCAAAAAUUUCACUUUCCAAGGAUGGGACUUUCUGUGGGAAACCCUGGAAGAAAGUCUUGCAUGAUUUGGGGAUUGAAGAAAGUGACCUGUGGAACUCAGUGGGUUCUCAGGAGAAGUGCUUAUGGAAUGCUAAAAUAUUCCCCAUUCUUUCUUACUUUGAGAUGCUUAGUUUGGCCUCGUGGUUGAUGGGUUUGGGUGACCCAAAAACUAAAAGUUUGCUUUCCUUGUGGAAAAAUUCACGCCGUGUCAGUUUGGAGGAGUUGCAUAGAUCAAUUGACUUUUCAAAAAUGUGUACAGGCUCAAGUAGUCAUCAUGCUGAUCUUGCAGCUGGAAUUGCUAAGGCUUGCAUUAACUAUGGCAUGCUUGGACGAAACUUGUUCCAAUUGUGUCAGGAAAUUCUACAGAAGGAAGCUUCAGGAGUCGAAAUAUGCAAGGACUUCUUGGAACUGUGUCCCAAACUUCAGGAGCAGAAUUCUAAAAUUCUUCCCAGGAGUCGGGCAUAUCAGGUGCAAGUUGAUCUUCUUCGAGCAUGCGGAGAUGAAAAAACUGCAUGCCAGUUGGAACAUAAAGUUUGGGCUGCAGUCGCUGAUGAAACUGCUUCUGCAGUGAGAUAUGGUUUUAAAGAACAUCUCUUGGAGUCUCCUGGCAGCUUGCCUGCUUCGGAAUAUGAGAACAAUCACAUUGAUGACUCUCUCAGUCAAUCUUUCUGCGCUAGAAGGGUAAAGGUUGAGUUACCAGUUCGUGUAGAUUUUGUUGGGGGAUGGAGUGACACUCCUCCAUGGAGCUUGGAGCGUGCUGGAUGUGUUCUGAAUAUGGCAAUAAGUUUGGAUGCUUGUCUUCCCAUUGGCACAAUCAUAGAGACAACAGAAAAGACUGGAGUGUUCAUUAAUGAUGAUGCUGGAAACCAGUUAUACAUUGAGAAUGUUACCUCAAUAGCACCUCCAUUUGACGAUGACGAUGUAUUCCGGCUUGUCAAAUCUGCAUUGCUUGUGACUGGUGUUAUUCACAAAAACAUUCUUGCAUCCAUGGGCUUGCGAAUCAAGACAUGGGCAAAUGUACCUCGUGGUAGCGGCCUGGGAACUUCGAGCAUCCUAGCAGCUGCUGUUGUGAAAGGCCUCCUUCAGAUAACUGAUGGAGAUAAAAAUAAUGAAAAUGUUGCUAGACUGGUUUUGGUAUUGGAACAACUCAUGGGGACAGGAGGUGGGUGGCAGGAUCAAAUUGGAGGUUUGUACCCUGGUAUUAAAUUUACUACAAGUUUCCCUGGAAUACCAUUGAGGCUCCAAGUCGUCCCCUUAUUGGCUUCUUCUCAGCUGAUAUCAGAAUUGCACCAGAGAUUGCUUGUUGUGUUUACUGGUCAAGUUCGACUUGCACAUCAAGUUCUACAGAAAGUAGUUACUAGAUACCUUCAGCGGGAUAACCUUCUUGUAUCCAGUGUUAAGCGCCUUGCUGAACUGGCAAAAAUUGGGAGAGAGGCUUUAAUGAACUGUGAAGUGGACGAACUAGGGGAGAUAAUGCUGGAGGCCUGGAGGUUGCAUCAGGAACUUGAUCCGUACUGCAGCAAUGAAUUGGUUGAUAGGCUAUUUGCAUUUGCUGACCCCUACUGCUGUGGCUACAAACUUGUGGGUGCUGGUGGUGGGGGCUUUGCGUUGUUACUUGCUAAGGAUGCUAAUGCUGGAAAGGAACUGAGACAUAAGCUAGAAGAAUGUUCAAAUUUUGAUGUGAAAGUCUACAAGUGGAACCUCUUUUUAGACAAUUAGACGUAUAAAUAUGACCAUAAAUACCUCUUAUUAUUCUUUACACAGACCUUUGUAUAAUUCUUUAUGAUAGGUUUAUAAGAUGAUUUAUAUAUGGAUUACGAGCGAUAAGUGUGUGAUACAAGGAACUAAAAAUUAUUUGUAUGUUGACUAUAUAGCUUAAUAAGAUUCAGCAGUAUAGCAGUUUG
rnacentral:misc_RNA from 1 species